ACAUUACACAAAUAUGAAGGCGGGCUGGAACCUCUCGGGGUUACAGCCUUGCUGAAUUAUUCACCCUUGUCUUUUGCGUACUUCUUGUUUCCUUGGUGGGUUCGCCCACCACUAGGACAACCAUAAACCUUUUGUAAUUGCAAUCAGCGUCAGUAACAAAUUAAUAAUUACAACUUUCAACAACGGAUCUCUUGGUUCUGGCAUCGAUGAAGAACGCAGCGAAAUGCGAUAAGUAGUGUGAAUUGCAGAAUUCAGUGAAUCAUCGAAUCUUUGAACGCACAUUGCGCCCUUUGGUAUUCCAAAGGGCAUGCCUGUUCGAGCGUCAUUUGUACCCUCAAGCUUUGCUUGGUGUUGGGCGUCUUGUCUCUAGCUUUGCUGGAGACUCGCCUUAAAGUAAUUGGCAGCCGGCCUACUGGUUUCGGAGCGCAGCACAAGUCGCACUCUCUAUCAGCAAAGGUCUAGCAUCCAUUAAGCCUUUUUUUCAACUUUUGACCUCGGAUCAGGUAGGGAUACCCGCUGAACUUAAGCAUAUCAAUAAGCGGAGGAAAAAAAA
rnacentral:sRNA from 1 species